UGGGGGAUAUUGCACAAUGGGCGAAAGCCUGAUGCAGCGACGCCGCGUGGGGGAUGAAGGCUUUCGGGUUGUAAACCUCUUUCGCUAUCGAACAAGGCCCGCUUAGGGUGGGUUGAGGGUAGGUGGAGAAGAAGCGCCGGCUAACUACGUGCCAGCAGUCGCGGUAAUACGUAGGGCGCGAGCGUUGUCCGGAUUUAUUGGGCGUAAAGGGCUUGUAGGCGGCUUGUUGCGCCUGCUGUGAAAACGCGGGGCUUAACUUCGCGCGUGCAGUGGGUACGGGCAGGCUUGAGUGUGGUAGGGGUGACUGGAAUUCCAGGUGUAGCGGUGGAAUGCGCAGAUAUCUGGAGGAACACCGAUGGCGAAGGCAGGUCACUGGGCCAUUACUGACGCUGAGGAGCGAAAGCAUGGGUAGCGAACAGG
rnacentral:rRNA from 1 species